AUAAAAUGUAUAUGAAACAUAAAUGAGAUUACCAAGAUAUCUGAUUAUGUAUAUGCAAGUAUUCCAAAACUCACAGCUCAAACCCCUUCUAAUCCCCAGCAUUUUGAAUGAGGGAUACUCCUGUAUUUUCUAACAAUAGUUUUCUUGACCUCAUUGACAUAAAGGGCAAAAAAAUCCAGUUUUCACUACAGUAUUAUGAGUAAGAGCAUGUUUAAACAAAGAGUUGUGUGUUUAUGAUGAUUUUUUAAUAUUCAGCACUGCAAAUAUAAUGAUGCAACAUGCUUACGUACACAUUCUUAACAAAACAGAUGAUGAUGUCAUAAUAUAUACUAAAGGGUUGAUAGGUUACCUUGACUCACCCGAUGUAAAAGUUUGAACAAGCUCCAAGUAGGCUUCAAUUUGGAUGCUAGAGAUGCUUAUGUUGUUUUAAAACCUCUGCUUCCUUGGAAAUUGAUAAUGGAACAUUGUGUUUAUGAAUUGCUUAUAGGAAUGAGACACCUGGUAAAUGAGACCAAGAAUGGGGAAAUACCCGGAGGCGAAAAGUUUCUUCCAAGAUGAUUUUUUUACUCCAUUGCAUUGGCUUAGCACAGUUGUUUUCCAAUGCAAUUGUUGGAGCUUACGACUUCAGUAGAUGCAACCAUUCAGCUAUCAAAGAGGGAUACAAGAAUCUGUUAAAGAACGAAAUGAUAGACGAUCCAAGCAAGGUUGGUUUUCUCCUACUUACUUUCUCUUGUAGUCUUUAUCAAAUUGAAUCAAACGUAGAUUGGAUGUGGGUACAAUGAAAUCUGAAUUACGGGACCUGGAGUUUUCAAGAGACAUUUGGGAAGAGUGGGGGGAACAUGGAGAGUGGGAAACCAACAUGACCAACUGGACAUUUUCAAACAGAAAAAAACUAUAGGCAAAACCCAGUAGUGGUCAUGCUGGCAAUCAUUAAUUAAGAUUAUAUCUUGAUUAAAUUAAAUUCUUGUGAAAUAAAAUUCAUAAACAGUUAUAUUAAAAAAAAUCCUCAUGACUUAGACCUAUUAAUGUGAUAUUGGACAUGUAGCUAUUAUCUGCUUGUAAGCUUUCAUAAUGUACAUGCAUCAGUCUUCCUCUCG